rnacentral:rRNA from 2 species
AAACGCCCGGACCCAUUCCGAACCCGGAAGCUAAGCCUGCUAACGCUGAUGGUACUGCAACCGGGAGGUUGUGGGAGAGUAAGAAACCGCCGACA